UCCCUAGUACGGCGAGUGAGCGGGAUGAGCUCAAAUUUAAAAUCUGGCAGUCUAAGAUUGUCCGAGUUGUAGUCUAGAGAAGCGUUUUCCGCGUAGGCCUGUGUACAAGUCCCUUGGAAUAGGGCGUCAUAGAGGGUGAGAAUCCCGUCCUUGACACAGAUCAUCUAUGCUCUGCGAUGCGCUCUCGAAGAGUCGAGUUGUUUGGGAAUGCAGCUCAAAAUGGGUGGUAAAUUCCAUCUAAAGCUAAAUAUUGGCGAGAGACCGAUAGCGAACAAGUACCGUGAGGGAAAGAUGAAAAGCACUUUGGAAAGAGAGUUAAACAGUACGUGAAAUUGUUGAAAGGGAAACGAUUGAAGUCAGUCAUGUGGUUUGAGGUUCAGCCGGUUCUGCCGGUGUAUUCCUCAGACUACAGGCCAGCAUCAGUUUCGACCGGUGGAAAAAGUUGGAGGGAACGUGGCAUCCUCGGAUGUGUUAUAGCCCUCUUUCACAUGCAUCGGACGGGACUGAGGAACGCAGCGUGCCUUUAUGGUCGGUCUUCGGACACGAACGCGCUUAGGAUGCUGGCAUAAUGGCUUUAAACGACCCGUCUUAACAC
rnacentral:rRNA from 1 species